rnacentral:misc_RNA from 1 species
AUGGCUUCGGCCAUCAGUGGCGGACGGCUCAGUAACACGUAAGUGACCUACCCUCGAGUGGGGAAUAACUGCUCGAAAGAGUGGCUAAUACCGCAUACGCUCGUCUUUUCGAUGGGGCGAGUAAAGCAGUGAUGCGCUGGAGGAUGGGCUUGCGGCCGAUUAGCUAGUUGGUGGGGUAACGGCCUACCAAGGCGAUGAUCGGUAGCUGGUCUGAGAGGAUGAUCAGCCUGACUGGGACUGCGACACGGCCCAGACUCCUACUGGAGGCAGCAGUGGG